UACAGAGGUCCCGAGCGUUGUUCGGAUUUAUUGGGCGUAAAGGGUGCGUAGGUGGCAAAGUAAGUUGGAUGUGAAAUCCUGGGGCUCAACCUCAGAAUUGCAUUCAAUACUGCUUAGCUAGAGAGCUGUAGAGGAGACUGGAAUUUACGGUGUAGCAGUGAAAUGCGUAGAUAUCGUAAGGAACGCCAGUGGCGAAAGCGAGUCUCUGGGCAGCAUCUGACACUGAGGCACGAAGGCCAGGGGAGCAAACUGG
rnacentral:rRNA from 1 species